GACGGGUGAGUAAUGUCUGGGAAACUGCCUGAUGGAGGGGGAUAACUACUGGAAACGGUAGCUAAUACCGCAUAACGUCGCAAGACCAAAGAGGGGGACCUUCGGGCCUCUUGCCAUCGGAUGUGCCCAGAUGGGAUUAGCUAGUAGGUGGGGUAACGGCUCACCUAGGCGACGAUCCCUAGCUGGUCUGAGAGGAUGACCAGCCACACUGGAACUGAGACACGGUCCAGACUCCUACGGGAGGCAGCAGUGGGGAAUAUUGCACAAUGGGCGCAAGCCUGAUGCAGCCAUGCCGCGUGUAUGAAGAAGGCCUUCGGGUUGUAAAGUACUUUCAGCGGGGAGGAAGGGAGUAAAGUUAAUACCUUUGCUCAUUGACGUUACCCGCAGAAGAAGCACCGGCUAACUCCGUGCCAGCAGCCGCGGUAAUACGGAGGGUGCAAGCGUUAAUCGGAAUUACUGGGCGUAAAGCGC
rnacentral:rRNA from 1 species